rnacentral:rRNA from 1 species
CCUACGGGAUGCAGCAGUGAGGAAUAUUGGUCAAUGGACGAGAGUCUGAACCAGCCAAGUAGCGUGAAGGAUGACUGCCCUAUGGGUUGUAAACUUCUUUUAUAUGGGAAUAAAAUGUUCCACGUGUGGGAUUUUGUAUGUACCAUAUGAAUAAGGAUCGGCUAACUCCGUGCCAGCAGCCGCGGUAAUACGGAGGAUCCGAGCGUUAUCCGGAUUUAUUGGGUUUAAAGGGCGCGUAGGUGGAUUGUUAAGGCAGUUGUGAAAGUUUGCGGCUCAACCGUAAAAUUGCAGUUGAAACUGGCAGUCUUGAGUACAGUAGAGGUGGGCGGAAUUCGUGGUGUAGCGGUGAAAUGCUUAGAUAUCACGAAGAACUCCGAUUGCGAAGGCAGUUCACUGGACUGCAACUGACACUGAGGCUCGAAAGUGUGGGUAUCAAACAGGAUUAGAUACCCCUGUAGUC